CGCGUGAGGGAGAAGCCUGUGGGUUGUAAACCUCUUUUCUCAAGGAAGAAUUCUGACGGUACUUGAGGAAUAAGCAUCGGCUAACUCUGUGCCAGCAGCCGCGGUAAUACAGAGGAUGCAAGCGUUAUCCGGAAUCACUGGGCAUAAAGCGUCUGUAGGUUGCNUNCCAAGUCUGCUGUUAAAGAUCAGGGCCUAACCCUGGGAAAGCAGUGGAAACUANUAGGCUUGAGUGUGGUAGAGGUAGAGGGAAUUCCUGGUGUAGCGGUGAAAUGCGUANAUAUUAGGAAGAACACCAAUGGCGAAAGCACUCUACUGGGCCAUAACUGACACUGAGAGACGACAGCUAGGGGAGCAAAAGGGAUU
rnacentral:rRNA from 1 species